GUGUCAGCAGCCGCGGUAAGACGAACCGUGCAAACGUUAUUCGGAAUCACUGGGCAUAAAGGGCGCGUAGGCGGCUUUCUAAGUCAGGGGUGAAAUCCGGCAGCUCAACUGUCGCAGUGCCUUUGAUACUGGAGAGCUCGAGGGAGGUAGGGGUCUGUGGAACUUCCGGUGGAGCGGUGAAAUGCGUUGAUAUCGGAAGGAACGCCGGUGGCGAAAGCGACGGACUGGAUCUCUUCUGACGCUGAGGCGCGAAAGCCAGGGGAGCAAACGGGAUUAGAUACCCCCGUAGUCC
rnacentral:rRNA from 1 species